AGUUAAGAUGAGUUUUUAUCCUCUUGAAGGAGCUAUAAAUGCCAGGCCAAUAAACAUAAACAUGGCUAUGAACUGUGAACCUCAUCCAAAUUAAAGUAAUGCUCUUUUAUUAUAAAAAUGUCAAGCAAUUGAAUAAACAUAGUCAGAAUAUGAUAGCUGAACAUGAAUUCAGCUAUCUCAGAAUUUCCAAGCAAACAAACAUAAUCUUACACAGAUUGCACUAGAACCGUACAAAUAAAAACACAAAGUUAUAAAAACAAAUUAGCAAAAAAAAAAGUCAUAAAAACAAUCUUAAUUCAAAAAAUAGAUACCUGAUUAAAAGCACUCUUUCGUGCAAUAAAUCAA
rnacentral:lncRNA from 1 species